GUGGGGAAUUUUGGACAAUGGGCGCAAGCCUGAUCCAGCAAUGCCGCGUGCAGGAAGAAGGCCUUCGGGUUGUAAACUGCUUUUGUACGGAACGAAACGGUCCGGGUUAAUACCCUGGGCUAAUGACGGUACCGUAAGAAUAAGCACCGGCUAACUACGUGCCAGCAGCCGCGGUAAUACGUAGGGUGCAAGCGUUAAUCGGAAUUACUGGGCGUAAAGCGUGCGCAGGCGGUUUUGUAAGACAGGCGUGAAAUCCCCGGGCUCAACCUGGGAAUUGCGAUUGUGACUGCAAGGCUGGAGUGCGGCAGAGGGGGAUGGAAUUCCGCGUGUAGCAGUGAAAUGCGUAGAUAUGCGGAGGAACACCGAUGGCGAAGGCAAUCCCCUGGGCCUGCACUGACGCUCAUGCACGAAAGCGUGGGGAGCAAACAGGAUUAGAUACCCGAGUAGUCC
rnacentral:rRNA from 1 species